rnacentral:rRNA from 1 species
UACGAACCGUCCAAACGUUAUUCGGAAUUACUGGGCUUAAAGGGUUCGUAGGCGGCCUUGUAAGUGGGGUGUGAAAUCACUCGGCUCAACCGAGGAAUAGCGCUCCAAACUGCAAGGCUUGAGGGAGACAGGGGUAAGCGGAACUGAUGGUGGAGCGGUGAAAUGCGUUGAUAUCAUCAGGAACACCGGUGGCGAAAGCGGCUUACUGGGUCUCUUCUGACGCUGAGGAACGAAAGCUAGGGUAGCGAACGGG